rnacentral:rRNA from 1 species
CUGGCUCAGGACGAACGCUGGCGGCGUGCUUAACACAUGCAAGUCGAACGGAACACCCUUGACAGAGGUUUCGGCCAAUGAAGAGGAAUGUUUAGUGGCGGACUGGUGAGUAACGCGUGAGGAACCUGCCUUUCAGAGGGGGACAACAGUUGGAAACGACUGCUAAUACCGCAUGAAGCAGCGAGGGGACAUCCCCUUGCUGUCAAAGAUUUAUCGCUGAAAGAUGGCCUCGCGUCUGAUUAGCUAGUUGGUGGGGUAACGGCCCACCAAGGCGACGAUCAGUAGCCGGACUGAGAGGUUGACCGGCCACAUUGGGACUGAGAUACGGCCCAGACUCCUACGGGAGGCAGCAGUGGGGAAUAUUGGGCAAUGGACGCAAAGUCUGACCCAGCAACGCCGCGUGAAGGAAGAAGGCUUCGGGUUGUAAACUUCUUUUAACAGGGAAGAGAAGAAGACGGUACCUGUUGAAUAAGCCACGGCUAACUACGUGCCAGCAGCUGC